rnacentral:rRNA from 1 species
UACGAAGGGGGCUAGCGUUGUUCGGAAUUACUGGGCGUAAAGCGUGCGCAGGCGGUUUUCCAAGUCAGUGGUGAAAGCCCGGAGCUCAACUCCGGAACUGCCAUUGAAACUGUGAAACUAGAGUACGAGAGAGGUGAGUGGAAUUCCCAGUGUAGAGGUGAAAUUCGUAGAUAUUCGGAAGAACACCAGUGGCGAAGGCGACUUACUGGACACAUAUUGACGCUGAGGUGCGAAAGCGUGGGGAGCAAACAGG